rnacentral:lncRNA from 1 species
CUUUUAUCUGGAAGAUAGAUUGGGAAGAUGUCACUUCAUUUUUGCACAUUAUCAACAACUAUUUCUUGAAUGCUUACCCUACCUUGUAAGCACCACGUUAAAUGUCUUGUCUACCUGAGGUCACUUCAUCCUAAAAGUAUAUGUAGGACUUGUAAUUAGCCUUAUUUCCAUUUUUCAGAGGAGAAAAGCGAGAGGUGAAGUCCAUUUGCCCAAGGUUAGUGCCCAGCUGGUGCUCAGAGACAGAAUGCGGAUGCGGGUCUUUACCAUCCGGUGCUGUUCUGCACCUUUCCAGCUCAGCCUUCCUCAAGAUGCUUCCGCAGGAGACAUCAGGACUUCUGUUCCAGUGACCCAAUGGAUGUCACGGCAGAGAGCAUGGCAUCGUGGACAGACCACUGGAGAAUGGGCCAGGAGACCUCCCCCCUCCUCCAGUCAAACCCCCAACAUUCCCCGGUUCUCUGGCUCUGUGACAUCACAGCCUCCUCUCUUCUCUACCAGCUACAGGUGAGUGAGCCUCAAAGGUUAGACCUCAGAGCAGGACGGGGUCUUUUUUCUGUACUUAAAGGGACAAUGUCUCCAUCACGCCUGGACACCUUUGCUGAAACACCCCCCCCCUACACAUUCAACAUACAGGAAGCAAACUGGAAUAAAGCAAAAUCCCAUGAGGCAAGAAUUUAUAAGAAGGAAAUUGAAACGAAAGCAAACAGCGGAAGAAAAUAA